CUGUUUUACAGGCUGGGGUGCCUGUCUAUUCACAGGCACAAUCCCACUACUGAUUAGCAUGGGAAUUUUGAUCUGCUGUUUCCAGCCUGGGUUCACCUUUCCUUAGACAACCUGGUGGUCCUUUGUGCCUGAGAGGUCACCAUAUUGAAGCCAAACUUAAUGUGGUCACCCAAUCAGCAUAGCGCACCGUAUCCCAAAACUGCUGGGCUCUGUGCGAACAUCCUCUCUUGGCCUCCCGAGUAACUGGCACUACAGGUGUGUACUACCAUGCCCAACAAUGAAGUAUCAUGUCAUCGAUUCUAUCUUACGUCAUUCCUAUCUUAGAUUAGAUAAAAUAUGGCAGAUUCGAUGCUGAGAUUUUCCUGGAGAUACGGAAGAAAGAGUAAGUGAUACUUCAUGUACCAGAACAUUGAAAAAUCCUCUCCAAAUAUCCACUGUUUCUCUGAAUCCACCUCCCCUCUGUUGUGGCCAUGAAAGUUUCCCCUCCUCUUAAGCCUGCCAGUCCUUGCCAGGUUCCUCCCAGCAACUCAUCUUCGCCUUUACUUUCUCUUUACUCUCCUCUUCCACCCCUUAAUCUGCCCACCUCCCCCAGCCUCUCAGGGUCUCCAUCUCUUUAUUCUAAUUUAACCUUCUCUCUCUCUCUCUUCUCUUCUCCACUUCUUCUCCCCAGCGGCACCCCAUCAAGUAAAACAAAGGACCCUCCAAGGAAUCUACCUUCUUAGAGAAUGAAGAGCAGGGUUAGAUGAGCGCAUGAGGCUGGGGCCUUCAUCAUGAGAUUGGCAUCUUUAAAAGAGACACCAGAGAGUUUGUUUUCCUAUUGCAAAGAAGAGGUCAUGUGAGCCCCCAGCAAGAUAAUGGCUGCCGACGAGCCAAGAGAAGAGGCUUCAGAAUGAAACCUACUUGCUGGCACCUUGAUCUUGGACUUCCAGCCUCCAGAACUUUGUGCAUGCUGACCCUGAAUCAAAUCAGAUUUCUGUCUACAACAAAGAAGAAAAGAUGGCAGCUAGGUGUGAGCCGCUGCUCCCAGCCUGAACCAAUAUGGUAUAUAUGGAUAUAUGGAAAUAUAUUGUGAUGGAUUGGUUCGUGUGAUCAUGGAGGCUGAGAAGUUCCAUAAUCUGCCAUAUGUAAGCUGUAUGUUGUGGCAUUAUGGUAAAAUAAGAAAUACAUAUUUGGUCUCUGUCCCUGGUUCCUGGCACACAGAGCUCCCAAUCCCUUGGAAUUCCUGGAAGAUAGGAGCAUGUUUUGUUCUAAUGAGGUGACUCUUGGUGGGCUUCUGAAUGGGAGUUGGUCACCAGGAAGACCAAGCCAUGAUUAGAAGCUUGGAACUUUCAGCUUUAGCCCCCAUCCUCUGGGAAGGGGAGAGGGACUGGAGACUGAGUCAGUAAUCAAUCAUGCCUGUGUGAUAAAGCUGCUAUAAAAAUCCCUGAACUGUGGGAUUCAAAGAACUACCCAGUGGCUGAACACAUGGAGGUACCAGAGGGUGGCGUACUGACAAGGGCAUGGAAGCUCCAUGCCCCUUCCUGCAUACCUCACCCUAUGCAUCUCUUCUCUUUGAAAGCUGUUCUUCUUUUCCUUUUUAAGGUCCUCUGUAAUAAAUGGGUAAACAUAAGUAGUUUCCCUGAGUUUUGUAAGCCACGCUAACAAAUUAAUUGAACCUGAGGAGAGAUUAAUGGAAACUCCCAAUUUACGGCUGAAUGGUCAGAUGUAGUCACAACCUGGAGAACUUGUAACCGGCAUCUAAAGUGGGGGCGCUCUUCUGGGACUUCUUGUGGGACCGAGCCCUUAACCUGUGGUAUCUGAUGCUAACUCCAGGUAGAUAGUGUCAGAAUUGAGUUAAAUUGUAGAUACCCAGUUGGCGUCUGAUGGAGAAUUGGCUGUUGGUGAAGCAGAUUUUGUUGACCAGAGAUGUAGUAUUGUAUUGAGUGGUGAGUGUGUGAGGGUAGGAAAAGCAAUGUGGUGUUUCCUGUCUCAGAGACCAGGAGAGUUGGUGAUGUAGUUCCAGUCCAAGUCCAAAGGCCUGAGAACCAGGGCAGCCAAUGGUAUAAGUCCCAGUUCUGAUACAAAGACCUAAGAACAGGGUAGACAGUGGGGUGUGGCUGCUGGUGCGUAUCCUGGUCAGAGUCUGAAGGGCUAAGAAGUAGGAGGCUGACAGUUUAAGUCCCUGUCUAAGUCUGAAGGCAUAAAAACUGGAAGCACUGAUGCCUGAGGGCCUGAGAAGAUGAAUGUCCCGACUUUAGCUGAGAGAAUGAUUUUACCCUUCCUCCGCCUUUUCAUUCUAUUUGGGUUCUCAACAGAUUGGAUCAUGCCCACCCACAUUGGUGAGGGUAUCUUCUUUACUCAGUCAGCUGAUUCCGAUGCUAAUCUCUUCCAGAAACACCCUCACAGACACACCCACAGAGAAUGUUUUACCAGUUAGCUAUACAUUCCUUAGCCCAAACUGAGACAUAAAAUUAACUGUCACAGAAUGUAUGUGUAUAUACAUGUGUGUGUAUGAUGAUCUAGUCGAAUAUCCGUGUGUGUAUGUAUGUCUGUGAUCUAGUUGAAUAUCCAUGUGUGUAUGUAUGCCUAUGAUCUAGUUGAAUAUCCGUGUGUGUAUGUAUGCCUAUGAUCUAGUUGAAUAUCCGUGUGUGUAUGUAUGCCUAUGAUCUAGUUGAAUAUCCGUGUGUGUAUGUAUGCCUAUGAUCUAGUUGAAUAUCCGUGUGUGUAUGUAUGUCUAUGAUCUAGUUGAAUAUCCGUGUGUGUAUGUAUGUCUAUGAUCUAGUUGAAUAUCUGUGUGUGUGUGUGUGUGUAUGUACGUAUGUAUGUCUGUGAUCUAGUUUAAUAUCCUAUCAGUUUUCACUUAACAUUUUAUGAUGAACUUGCUGUUUCCCCUUUGGUCCCAGCCUCCUCUUCACACAUGUUCAAAAUAAGGAAAAGAAGCACAGAACACAUGAGUCUCAGUGAAGUGAUUAAUUAGAUCAAAGUCACUUUUGAUUUGGAAAUGUCCUUGUUUCAUCAUUCCUGAUUGGUCUCCACGUGGGCAUACUUAACAUUCUCUACUGAAGAGCACUCUUGCGGGCUCCGAGGACAUUUAGAUACCUAGGUACAACAUGAGCAUGAGGGAAAACACUUUUCUUCAGGCUGUCUAGCGGUUGACAUUGGGACUGACCACUCUUCAUGGAGAAUCUUGGCCUUACCCUUGCAGGCCUGAUAUAGUUUGAAUGUGUCCCCACCUAAAUCUC